rnacentral:lncRNA from 1 species
GAUUUAUGCUUAAUUGUUCUAAUUUUAGGGGUUUGCAUGUGCAUAUUUUAAAUUAAAUCUUCUGGAAAUUGGUGCGUUUUAUGGUUUGUUUGAUGCUUUGCAGGAGAUUUAGGUUUAUGGAUGGAAGAAUGCAAUUUUGGAGAUUUUUGGGCUAAAAAUGGUGUUUUUAGCAGACAUCGACAUAGCAGAGCUAAGUGCCAGAGUCAACUCAUAACUGCCAGCGCUGACCAUUUUCAACUCAACUCAUAACUGCCAGCGCUGACCAUUUUCAGCUCCGCCCAUUCUUGCCAGCGCUGACCAUUUUCAGCUCCACCCAUUCUUGCCAACGCUGGCCAUUUUCAGCUCCGCCCAUAAUUGCCAGCGCUGACUACUUUCCAGCUCCACCUAUUUCGCCAACGCUGACUACCUUUCCCAAGCAUAAUCAUAGGAGUUCACUUUCCAUAGCUAUGUUUAUUCUUUCCAGCUCCGCAUAUUCUUGCCAGCACCAUUACUUUCCAGCUAUGUUUAUUCUUGCCAGCACCGAUUACUUUCUAGCUAUGCUUAUUCUCACCAGAGC